GAUGAACGCUAGCGGCAGGCUUAAUACAUGCAAGUCGAGGGGCAGCGCAGUGUAGCAAUACAUGGGCGGCGACCGGCAAACGGGUGCGGAACACGUACAGAACCUUCCUUCGAGCGGGGAAUAGCCCAGAGAAAUUUGGAUUAAUACCCCAUAGUAUAUCGGAGUGGCAUCACUUUGAUAUUAAAGAUUUAUCACUUGAAGAUGGCUGUGCGGCUGAUUAGGUAGUUGGCGGGGUAACGGCCCACCAAGCCUGCGAUCAGUAACUGGUGUGAGAACACGACCAGUCACACGGGCACUGGGACACGGGCCCGACUCCUACGGGAGGCAGCAGUAAGGAAUAUUGGUCAAUGGACGAAAGUCUGAACCAGCCAUGCCGCGUGGAGGAUGAAGGUCCUCUGGAUUGUAAACUUCUUUUAUCUGGGACGAAAAAGGGUCUUUCUAGAUCAACUGACGGUACCAGAUGAAUAAGCACCGGCUAACUCCGUGCCAGCAGCCGCAGUAACAC
rnacentral:rRNA from 1 species